rnacentral:rRNA from 1 species
GUAAGGAAUAUUGGUCAAUGGGGGCAACCCUGAACCAGCCAUGCCGCGUGAAGGAUGAAGGCGUUAUGCGUUGUAAACUUCUUUUGUAUGGGAAGAAUGACAGGGAUUUAUCCUUGGAGAGACGGUACCAUACGAAUAAGCACCGGCUAACUCCGUGCCAGCAGCCGCGGUAAUACGGAGGGUGCAAGCGUUAUCCGGAAUCACUGGGUUUAAAGGGUACGUAGGCGGUUAAUUAAGUCAGUAGUGAAAGACUGUCGCUCAACGACGGAUGUGCUAUUGAUACUGGUUAACUUGAAUCAGGUUAGAGUUGGCGGAAUGGGUCAUGUAGCGGUGAAAUGCUUAGAUAUGGCACAGAACACCAAUUGCGAAGGCAGCUCACUAAGGCGAUACUGACGCUGAGGCACGAAAGCGUGGGGAUCGAACAGGAUUAGAUACCCGUGUAGUCC